CACCCUUAUGAUACGAAAUGCACAUUCUUUAAUCCUAAAGGGAGUACCGACGAAAACGUUGAUAUAAUGGAUUGCAUGGAAACUUGCAUCUUCAAUCUUCACAUGGAGCAAUAUGGAUGUGCACCACGUUCAAUAAGUAUUAGUCACAUGGCGAAUUUGUGUAAAAAAGAUGAAAAAGUCCCAGAUGAAAAUCGAAAUACUUGUUUCAAAAUGUGCAACAAUACUCCUUGUGAG